UGCAUUCACUACUGUAAGUUGCUCUGGAUAAGAGCGUCUGUUAAAUUACUAAAA
rfam:Salmo salar isolate Sally breed double haploid chromosome ssa11, whole genome shotgun sequence.